rnacentral:rRNA from 1 species
GACGAACGCUGGCGGCGUGCUUAACACAUGCAAGUCGAACGGAAAGGCCCUGCUUUUGCGGGGUGCUCGAGUGGCGAACGGGUGUGUAACACGUGAGUAACCUGCCCUUGACUUUGGGAUAACUUCAGGAAACUGGGGCUAAUACCGGAUAGGAGCUCCUGCUGCAUGGUGGGGGUUGGAAAGUUUCGGCGGUUGGGGAUGGACUCGCGGCUUAUCAGCUUGUUGGUGGGGUAGUGGCUUACCAAGGCUUUGACGGGUAGCCGGCCUGAGAGGGUGACCGGCCACAAGGGGACUGAGAUACGGCCCAGACGCGUACGGGAGGCAGCAGUGGGGAAUAUUGCACAGUGGGCGGAAGCCUGAGACGGCAGCGCCGGGUGCGGGAUGACCGCCUUCGGGUUGUAAACCGCUUUCGACUGUGACGAAGCGGGAGUGACGGUAAUGGGUAAAGAAGCACCGGCUAACUACGUG